UACGAAGGGGGCUAGCGUUGUUCGGAAUUACUGGGCGUAAAGGGCGCGUAGGCGGUGUGUCAAGUCAGGCGUGAAAGCCCCGGGCUCAACCUGGGAACCGCGCUUGAGACUGGCACGCUAGAGUUCGGGAGAGGAUGGUGGAAUUCCCAGUGUAGAGGUGAAAUUCGUAGAUAUUAGGAAGAACACCAGUGGCGAAGGCGGCUUACUGGUCCGGAACUGACGCUGAGGUGCGAAAGCGUGGGGAGCAAACAGG
rnacentral:rRNA from 1 species